GGUUAAGCGACUAAGCGUACACGGUGGAUGCCCUGGCAGUCAGAGGCGAUGAAGGACGUGCUAAUCUGCGAUAAGCGUCGGUAAGGUGAUAUGAACCGUUAUAACCGGCGAUUUCCGAAUGGGGAAACCCAGUGUGAUUCGUCACACUAUCAUUAACUGAAUCCAUAGGUUAAUGAGGCGAACCGGGGGAACUGAAACAUCUAAGUACCCCGAGGAAAAGAAAUCAACCGAGAUUCCCCCAGUAGCGGCGAGCGAACGGGGAGCAGUCCAGAGCCUGAAUCAGUGUGUGUGUUAGUGGAAGCGUCUGGAAAGGCGCGCGAUACAGGGUGACAGCCCCGUACACAAAAAUGCACAU
rnacentral:rRNA from 1 species